GAUGAACGCUGGCUUCGUGCCUAAUACAUGCAAGUCGAGCGAACGGACGAGAAGCUUGCUUCUCUGAUGUUAGCGGCGGACGGGUGAGUAACACGUGGAUAACCUACCUAUAAGACUGGGAUAACUUCGGGAAACCGGAGCUAAUACCGGAUAAUAUUUUGAACCGCAUGGUUCAAAAGUGAAAGACGGUCUUGCUGUCACUUAUAGAUGGAUCCGCGCUGCAUUAGCUAGUUGGUAAGGUAACGGCUUACCAAGGCAACGAUGCAUAGCCGACCUGAGAGGGUGAUCGGCCACACUGGAACUGAGACACGGUCCAGACUCCUACGGGAGGCAGCAGUAGGGAAUCUUCCGCAAUGGGCGAAAGCCUGACGGAGCAACGCCGCGUGAGUGAUGAAGGUCUUCGGAUCGUAAAACUCUGUUAUUAGGGAAGAACAUAUGUGUAAGUAACUGUGCACAUCUUGACGGUACCUAAUCAGAAAGCCACGGCUAACUACGUGCCAGCAGCCGCGGUAAUACGUAGGUGGCAAGCGUUAUCCGGAAUUAUUGGGCGUAAAGCGCGCGUAGGCGGUUUUUUAAGUCUGAUGUGAAAGCCCACGGCUCAACCGUGGAGGGUCAUUGGAAACUGGAAAACUUGAGUGCAGAAGAGGAAAGUGGAAUUCCAUGUGUAGCGGUGAAAUGCGCAGAGAUAUGGAGGAACACCAGUGGCGAAGGCGACUUUCUGGUCUGUAACUGACGCUGAUGUGCGAAAGCGUGGGGAUCAAACAGGAUUAGAUACCCUGGUAGUCCACGCCGUAAACGAUGAGUGCUAAGUGUUAGGGGGUUUCCGCCCCUUAGUGCUGCAGCUAACGCAUUAAGCACUCCGCCUGGGGAGUACGACCGCAAGGUUGAAACUCAAAGGAAUUGACGGGGACCCGCACAAGCGGUGGAGCAUGUGGUUUAAUUCGAAGCAACGCGAAGAACCUUACCAAAUCUUGACAUCCUUUGACAACUCUAGAGAUAGAGCUUUCCCCUUCGGGGGACAAAGUGACAGGUGGUGCAUGGUUGUCGUCAGCUCGUGUCGUGAGAUGUUGGGUUAAGUCCCGCAACGAGCGCAACCCUUAAGCUUAGUUGCCAUCAUUAAGUUGGGCACUCUAAGUUGACUGCCGGUGACAAACCGGAGGAAGGUGGGGAUGACGUCAAAUCAUCAUGCCCCUUAUGAUUUGGGCUACACACGUGCUACAAUGGACAAUACAAAGGGCAGCGAAACCGCGAGGUCAAGCAAAUCCCAUAAAGUUGUUCUCAGUUCGGAUUGUAGUCUGCAACUCGACUACAUGAAGCUGGAAUCGCUAGUAAUCGUAGAUCAGCAUGCUACGGUGAAUACGUUCCCGGGUCU
rnacentral:rRNA from 1 species